rnacentral:rRNA from 1 species
GACGAACGCUGGCGGCGUGCUUAACACAUGCAAGUCGAGCGGUAGAGAGGAGCUUGCUUCUCUUGAGAGCGGCGGACGGGUGAGUAAUGCCUAGGAAUCUGCCUGGUAGUGGGGGAUAACGUUCGGAAACGGACGCUAAUACCGCAUACGUCCUACGGGAGAAAGUGGGGGAUCUUCGGACCUCACGCUAUCAGAUGAGCCUAGGUCGGAUUAGCUAGUUGGUGAGGUAAAGGCUCACCAAGGCGACGAUCCGUAACUGGUCUGAGAGGAUGAUCAGUCACACUGGAACUGAGAAACGGUCCAGACUCCUACGGGAGGCAGCAGUGGGGAAUAUUGGACAAUGGGCGCAAGCCUGAUCCAGCCAUGCCGCGUGUGUGAAGAAGGUCUUCGGAUUGUAAAGCACUUUAAGUUGGGAGGAAGGUCAGUAGCUUAAUACGUUGCUGAUUUGACGUUACCGACAGAAUAAGCACCGGCUAACUCUGUGCCAGCCGCCGCGGUAAGAC